rnacentral:rRNA from 1 species
GAUGAACGCUGGCGGCGUGCCUAAUACAUGCAAGUCGAGUGAACGGACGAGAAGCUUGCUUUUCUGAUGUUAGCGGCGGACGGGUGAGUAACACGUGGAUAACCUACCUAUAAGACUGGGAUAACUUCGGGAAACCGGAGCUAAUACCGGAUAAUAUUUUGAACCGCAUGGUUCAAAAGUGAAAGACGGUCUUGCUGUCACUUAUAGAUGGAUCCGCGCUGCAUUAGCUAGUUGGUAAGGUAACGGCUUACCAAGGCAACGAUGUAUAGCCGACCUGAGAGGGUGAUCGGCCACACUGGAACUGAGACACGGUCCAGACUCCUACGGGAGGCAGCAGUAGGGAAUCUUCCGCAAUGGGCGAAAGCCUGACGGAGCAACGCCGCGUGAGGGAUGAAGGUCUUCGGAUCGUAAAACUCUGUUAUUAGGGAAGAACAUAUGUGUAAGUAACUGUGCACAUCUUGACGGUACCUAAUCAGAAAGCCACGGCUAACUACGUG